GGGCACUUGGCUCAGUUGGUAGCGCGCUCGCUUCGCAUGCGAGAGGUCAGGAGUUCGACUCUCCUAGUGUCCA